rnacentral:lncRNA from 1 species
GUACGUGCUGGGAAAUCGCGGCCAGCGGAGCUCUGCGUGUGUGCGAGGCAGCCUGGAGUAUUACCCGGGCUGGAGGUUACUUUGGAUACAGAGCUUUACGUGCCUCAAAGACAUAGAUGCGUAAUGGAAAAUAUUUGUUUUUGCAAAAGUGUUUUAGAAGUUGUUGAGGUUUUUUGCAUGGGCACAUGUAAAUUUAAAUUGCAGCCGAAGUAGAGAAGUAUUGUGCCGUUAGUCACAAUAUUAUGUUAAAGAGGUUUCAAUUUUUCAUUUGGUUAAGAAAGCCUCAAUUCUGCAACGUGACGGAGGAGGAAGGAGCCUGAAAUCCCUGCAGAGCUCCAGUGCAGUCUUCGCAUGUAGUACUUGCCUUUUCACUGCGUGAGCCACUCUUCAGUCAAAAGCAGCAUCUGGGAUCACCAGGAUCGCUUGCAAGGCACUGUGUACGACAUUAAGAAGGUGAAUCCAAAGAGGACCAUAGAUGUAGGGUCAUUCCAAGUAAACCCUGACGGGACACAAGAGAGGAGUAAGGUGUCUGCGAAGAACUUGCUCCUCACACAGAGCUGGAGAAGAGAUCAGCUACUCAUUUUACAGGGUGAAAUCUGUUUUACGUGACGUGCCGAACGCCUGAGAGCUGGGGUCGUUGGAAAGCUGCUGGUUACCCCUCUCGUCCUUUCUAAAUGACACACCAAAAGUUUCUUGGCUCCUCAAAAUACUGAUGAAAUUGCCCGUUAUCAAUUGCCAUGGAAUUCACCCUCAUGGAAAUAGUUUGCCCUACGAAAUACUUCUAACUCGAGCACCAGUACAUUUCUCUCAUGGAUCAAAAGUAUAAUCUAAAGACUAUAUACACCUAUGGAUACGUAUAGUCUUUCACAGAUUUUACUAGCAGCACUAGUCCUCUGCAACGCUCUGAGUCACACGUCGUGUAUUUCAUAAUAAAGUGGGUUUUUUUUAUUUAAUGCA